rnacentral:lncRNA from 1 species
GUUUUUAUUCCUCAUUUUGUUAAUGUGGUGUAUCACAUAGAUUGAUUUGUAGAUGUUGAACCAUCCCUGUGUCCCUGGUAUAAAUCUCACUUGAUCAUGAUGUAUGAUCUUUUUGAUGUAUUGCUGUAUUCAGGUCGCCAAUAUUUUGUUGAGGACUUUUGCAUCUAUGUUCAUCAGCGAUAUUGGCCUGUGGUUUUCCGUUUUUAUGUUGUCCUUUUCAGGCUUUGGUAUUAGAGUGAUGUUGGCCUUGUAGAAUGUGUUAGGAAGUGUUCUGUCUUACCUAACUUUUUGGAAUAGCUUGAGAAGGAGGCAUUAAAUCCUCUCUGAAAGUUUGGUAGAAUUCUCCAGGAAACCUGUCGGGUCCUGGGCUUUUAUUUUUGGGGAUGCUUUUGUUUACUGUUUCAAUCUCUUUACUUGUGAUUGGUCUAUUCAGAUUAUCUAUUUCUUCUUGAUUCAGCUUUGGGAGGUUGUAAGAGUCUAAGAAUUUAUCAAUUUCUUCUAGAUUGUCCGUUUUGUUGGCAUAUAGUUUUUCAUAGUAUUCUCUUAUAAUCCGUUGUAUUUCUGUGGUGUCUGUUGUUAUCUCUCCUCUUUCAUUUCUAAUUUUAUUUAUUUGAGCUUUCUCUCUUUUUUUCUUUGUAAGUCUGGCUAGGGAUUUGUCAAUUUUAUUUAUCUUCUCAAAGAACAAGCUAUUUGUUUCAUUGAUCUUUCUACUACCUUUUUUGUUUGCUUCAAUUGCAUUUAUUUCUGCUCUGAUUUUUAUUAUUUGUCUCCUUCUGGCUUUGGGUUUUGUUUGUUCUUUUUCUAAUUCAGUUAGGUGUAGUUUGAGGUUGCUUAUUUGGGAUUUUUUUUGUUUGUUAAGGUGUGCCUGUAUUGUGAUGAAUUUCCCUCUUAAUAUGGCUUUUUCAGCAUCCCAUAUGGGUUGGUAUGGUAUGUUAUCACUUUCAUUUGUCGCCAGAUAUUUUUUUAUUUCUCUUUUAAUUUCUUCAAUGAUCCAUUGCUUAUUCAAUAGUGUGUUGCUUAGUCUCCACAUCUUUGUCCCUUUCUCAGCUUUUUUAUUGUAAUUAAUUUCUAGCUUUAUAGCAUUGUGAUCAGAAAAAAUCCGUAUUAUUACUUCAAUUUUCUUAAAUUUAUUGAGGCUUGCCUUGUUUCCCAACACAUGGUCUAUCCUUGAGAAUGUUCUGUGUGCACUUUAGAAGAAAGUGUAUUCUGCUGUUUUUGAAUGGAGUGUUGUAUAUAUGUCUAUUAAGUCCAACUGGUUUAGCAUUUCAUUUAAUUCCACUGUUUCAUUGUUGAUUUUCUGUCUGGAUGAUCUAUCCAUUAAUGUAGCGGAAUGUUGAGGUCCCCUACUGUUAUUGUAUUAUUAUUAAUAUCUUCUUUUAGGUUUGUUAACAGUUGCUUUAUGAUCUUUGGUGCUCCUAUUUUGG